UGAAGAUGCCGGAUACCUGCGACAGGACGGAAAGACCCCAUGGAGCUUUACUGUAGCUUGACAUUGGGUCUUGGUACUACAUGUACAGGAUAGGUGGGAGGCUUUGAAGCCAGGACGCCAGUUUUGGUGGAGCCAUCCUUGGGAUACCACCCUUGUAGUACUGGGACUCUAACCAUAGGCCAUGAAUCUGGUCUUGGGACACUGUCAGGUGGGCAGUUUGACUGGGGCGGUCGCCU
rnacentral:rRNA from 1 species